rnacentral:rRNA from 1 species
AACGAACGCUGGCGGCAGGCUUAACACAUGCAAGUCGAGCGCCCCGCAAGGGGAGCGGCAGACGGGUGAGUAACGCGUGGGAAUCUACCCAUCUCUACGGAAUAACGCAUGGAAACGUGUGCUAAUACCGUAUACGUCCUUCGGGAGAAAGAUUUAUCGGAGAUGGAUGAGCCCGCGUUGGAUUAGCUAGUUGGUGGGGUAAAGGCCUACCAAGGCGACGAUCCAUAGCUGGUCUGAGAGGAUGAUCAGCCACACUGGGACUGAGACACGGCCCAGACUCCUUCGGGAGGCAGCAGUGCGGAAUAGUGGACGAUGGGCGCAAGCCUGAUCCAGCCAUGCCGCGUGAGUGAUGAAGGCCCUAGGGUUGUAAAGCUCUUUCACCGGUGAAGAUAAUGACGGUAACCGGAGAAGAAGCCCCGGCUAACUUCGUGCCAGCCGCCGCGGUAACAC